GGGCAGUUACCUCGGUUGGCUAUAGGGUGGUGCUUAUAAUGCCAAGGUCACAGGUUCGAUCCCCAUAUGGGUCA